rnacentral:rRNA from 1 species
AGUAUUUUAGUAAUUAUCAAUUUUAAUAGCUAUUAUAGGCUUUUAAUUAAAUAUUAUUAGUCACGCCCCUAAGGAUUAGCUUAAGGGCUCAGUUGAGCUUAACAUAGUUAAAUAAAUUGUGUGAGCUUAAAAUCAGCUAUCACAAAAGUUUGUUAUAAAAUAAUUUACAAUAUUAACAAAAUUUGUAUAUUUAAUUCCACCUACUAAUGAAGAUAAAAUUAAGAACUAUAAUAAUUUCUACCUAUGCUAAAAUGAGUAUUAUAAUUUUUUUUAAAAUUGAAAUAAAUUAUAUUUUUCAUUAUAUAAUAUGAUUUAAUUAUAUUAAGUGAAUAAAAGGAACUCGGCAAAGCAAUGCUCCGCCUGUUUAUCAAAAACAUGGCUCCUCGAAUUAUUUAAAUGAGGAGUCAAACCUGCCCAGUGAAAACUUUUAAACGGCCGCGGUACUCUGACCGUGCAAAGGUAGCAUAAUCAUUUGCCUUAUAAUUGAAGGCUAGUAUGAAUGGUUUAACGUGAGCAAAACUGUCUCUUUUUCAUUUUCUAAAAAUUAACCUUUAGGUGAAGAGGCCUAAAUUUUAUUAAAGGACAAGAAGACCCUGUCGAGCUUUAAAUUAAUAACAGAGGUUGAUAUCAUAGAAAUAAUAAAUCUGUUAGCUUUUUUAGUUGGGGCGACUGAGGAACAAAUAAAGCUUCUUUUAAAUUAAUAAGCUAGAUAGCAGUGAUCCAGUAUUAAACUGAUCAAAAAAAUUAGUUACCGCAGGGAUAACAGCAUAAUCUCUCUUGAGAGACCAAAUCGAAAGAGGGGGUUGUGACCUCGAUGUUGGACUAGAAUAUCCGGAAGAUGCAGAUGUCUUCAAAGGUUGGUCUGUUCGACCAUUAAAAUUUU